rnacentral:rRNA from 1 species
UUUUUGGUGUUGUAGGGCGUUUGGUGGAUGCCUUGGUGCGUAUGGGCCGAAGAAGGACGUUGUAGCCUGCGAUAUGCCUCGGGGAAUUGGCUAGCGAGUGGUGAUCCGAGGGUGUCCGAAUGGGGGAACCUAGCCUGGGUUAUGCCGGGUUGCUGCCAGCUGAAUUGAUAGGUUGGUGGUGGGAACGUGGGGAAGUGAAACAUCUUAGUACCUGCUGGAAAAGAUAUUUUGUGAGUAGUGGCGAGCGAAAGCGAAGGAGCCUAAACCUUGUGUGUGUGAUACUUGUCGGGGGUUGCACAUGGGGUGUUGUGGGGUGUUGUCUUCUCGUUUCCGACAGGACGGGGGGGGUGCGGACGGUUUCCUAGAGAUUUUUAAGGAGAACGUUCAAUGAGUAAGCGUACGUACACGAGAGAGCAGAUCCGUAAAGCCCUCACCACCUACCAACGCACGCAAUCGGUAACCGCCACAGUCCGUAAACUGGGCUACCCAGGCCGAGACACGCUCUACAAAUGGAUCCGGAAUAGCAACGAGAAACCAGAGCAGAGAAAACCGAAGAAACACGCCCCUAACCAGAAAAUAUCAACGGACGUGAAAGUAACUGCCUGCAAGCGAUUCCGCAGCGGGGAAAACGCCUACACUAUCGCCCAGGAUCUAGGAAUCGUGAACUGCACAAACAUCUAUGCUUGGGUUAAAAAGUGGGAUGCGGAAGGCAGUCUAGGACUCAUGAACGAGAAAGAAUGCGACCAGAUCAAAGCGAAAACCCGCCACCAACUGGAAGCCCAGCUACCCCAAGACCCGGAAGAAUUACGUGCUCUUGUAGCCGAUUUAAUCGUGCAGAAACGCGUCUUGAAAGCCCAGCUCGAGCUAGCAAAAAAAGGAAAAGCCCGCACAGGCGGGCGCAGUGAAGCGGUAGAGAAAACACGGGUAGCUAACCAGCUACGCUCUACCACGCCGCUAGCCAUGGUCUUAGAUACCUUGGAUUUGCCGGCAAGCUCGUACUAUUACACCGCUAAACAGCUAGAGCGGCCUGACAAGCAUGCUCGCUUGCGUGAGUUGAUCGCUCAGAUCGCGCGCGAGGGCUUGUAUACGUAUGGGUAUCGGCGUAUCCGUUUAGCGCUUAGAAAGCUUGGGUAUGUGGUCUCGGAGAAAGUCAUCCAGCGCUUGAUGCGGGAAGAGGAAAUCCCGGUCAGGUAUGCCAAAGCACGCCGGAAGUACUCUAGUUACGGCGGGGAGAUCAGCCCGGCACCGGAAAACCUAGUCGAGCGUGACUUCCACGCUGAUGAGCCCGGACGGCUUUGGCUCACGGAUAUCAGCGAGUUCCACGCAGCUAACGGGAAGGUUUAUCUCUCCCCGAUUAUUGACUGUUAUGACGGGAAAGUCGUGGCGUAUACGAGGGGAUUACACCCAACCUCAGUGUUGGCUGAUUCCUCCCUUGAAAACGCCCUGGCAACCCUCCCGCACCAGCGUCUAAACGAGCUACAAGCCGGCCAGAGUGAGCAUCCACUCGUGAUCCAUUCGGAUCGGGGAGUCCACUACCGGUCUGUGUCCUGGAUUGAGCUUACGCGGCGUUACGGGUUGACGCGGUCGAUGUCGAAGAAGGGGUGUAGUCCGGAUAAUUCUGCUUGUGAGGGGUUUUUCGGGCGGAUGAAAACCGAGAUUUAUCACGGGAAGAAGUGGGCUACAACCGAUGAGUUAUGCGAGGCGAUAGACGAGUAUAUGUUCUUCUAUAACCAGAAGCGUAUUACCUUGAAGUUCGAUGGUUUAACGAUUGUGGAGCAUCGUCAAGCGGUUUUAAGCGAUAAUGUCCAAUAAACAGUCCGCAGCCCCGGGCGUAGUGAUAAAUCAGGGAUGUAGGUGAAGGGUUUGGGAAGGCCUGCCGUAGACCGUGAUAGCCGGGUAGCUGAAAUGUUUCUGACUGCGUGAUGACAUGCCCGAGUAGCACGGGGCUCGUGGAAUCUCGUGUGAAUCUGCCAAGACCACUUGGUAAGGCUAAAUACCCGUCGUGACCGAUAGUGAAUUUAGUACCGUGAGGGAAUGGUGAAAAGUACCCCGGGAGGGGAGUGAAAUAGUGCCUGAAACCAGGCGCCUACAAACUGUCAGAGCCACAUUUCAAUGGUGGUGAUGGCGUGCCUAUUGAAGAAUGAGCCUGCGAGUUAGGAUGUGUGGCGAGGUUAACCCGUGUGGGGUAGUCGUAGCGAAAGCGAGUCUGAAGAGGGCGUUUUUAGUUGCAUGUUCUAGACCCGAAGCGGGGUGAUCUACCCAUGGCCAGGGUGAGGCACGUGUAAGAGCGUGUGGAGGCCCGAACCCACCAGGGUUGAAAACCUGGGGGAUGAGUUGUGGGUAGGGGUGAAAGGCCAAUCAAACUCCGUGAUAGCUGGUUCUCCCCGAAAUGCAUUUAGGUGCAGCGUUGCGUGGUUCUUUGUGGGGGUAGAGCUACUGGUUGGCUGAUGGGCCUGAUUUGGUUACUGACGUCAGCCAAACUCCGAAUACCAUGAAGUUGAGCGUGGCAGUGAGACUGUGGGGGAUAAGCUUCAUAGUCGAGAGGGAAACAGCCCAGAUCGCCGGUUAAGGCCCCUAAGUGUGUGCUAAGUGGGAAAGGAUGUUUAGUUGCUGUGACAACCAGGAGGUUGGCUUAGAAGCAGCCAUCCUUGAAAGAGUGCGUAAUAGCUCACUGGUCAAGUGAUUGAGCGCCGACAAUGUAGCGGGGCUGAAGUACACCGCCGAAACCGCGGCAAACAAGUUUUGUUUGGGUAGGGGAGCGUCCUGCGCGAGGUGAAGCCAUGGCGUGAGCUUGUGGUGGAUUGUGUGGGAGUGAGAAUGCAGGCAUGAGUAACGUUUGGGAGGUGAGAAUCCUUCCCGCCGUAUGACUAAGGGUUCCAGGGGUAGGUUCGUCCUCUCUGGGUUAGUCGGGUCCUAAGGCGAGGCCGACAGGCGUAGUCGAUGGGUGACCAGUUCUUAUUCUGGUACCGGUUUUAUUGCGUCCAGUGUCUUCUGCGUUGAUGCUAACCAUCCUGUCUACACCUUGUAAGCGAAUGAGGCGUUUGUCUUGUUUGUGGUUGGUGUGGGUGGCGUGGGGUCCUAAGUGUGGGAGGCAAGCGUGUUAACAGGUGUGACGCAGGGAGGUAGCUUCGCGUGCCUAAUGGCUUGGCGCGUUUAAGGGUGUGGCCCGUCCCCCAGGUAAAUCCGGGGGGCAUUGUGGGUGAGGCCUGAUGGUGACCGUUUUUAUAGCGGGAAGUAGGGUGAUCCUGUACUGCCGAGAAAAGCAUCGACGUGAGUGGUAAGACCGCCCGUACCCGAAACCGACACUGGGGGCUGCGGACUGUUUAUUGGACAUUAUCGCUUAAAACCGCUUGACGAUGCUCCACAAUCGUUAAACCAUCGAACUUCAAGGUAAUACGCUUCUGGUUAUAGAAGAACAUAUACUCGUCUAUCGCCUCGCAUAACUCAUCGGUUGUAGCCCACUUCUUCCCGUGAUAAAUCUCGGUUUUCAUCCGCCCGAAAAACCCCUCACAAGCAGAAUUAUCCGGACUACACCCCUUCUUCGACAUCGACCGCGUCAACCCGUAACGCCGCGUAAGCUCAAUCCAGGACACAGACCGGUAGUGGACUCCCCGAUCCGAAUGGAUCACGAGUGGAUGCUCACUCUGGCCGGCUUGUAGCUCGUUUAGACGCUGGUGCGGGAGGGUUGCCAGGGCGUUUUCAAGGGAGGAAUCAGCCAACACUGAGGUUGGGUGUAAUCCCCUCGUAUACGCCACGACUUUCCCGUCAUAACAGUCAAUAAUCGGGGAGAGAUAAACCUUCCCGUUAGCUGCGUGGAACUCGCUGAUAUCCGUGAGCCAAAGCCGUCCGGGCUCAUCAGCGUGGAAGUCACGCUCGACUAGGUUUUCCGGUGCCGGGCUGAUCUCCCCGCCGUAACUAGAGUACUUCCGGCGUGCUUUGGCAUACCUGACCGGGAUUUCCUCUUCCCGCAUCAAGCGCUGGAUGACUUUCUCCGAGACCACAUACCCAAGCUUUCUAAGCGCUAAACGGAUACGCCGAUACCCAUACGUAUACAAGCCCUCGCGCGCGAUCUGAGCGAUCAACUCACGCAAGCGAGCAUGCUUGUCAGGCCGCUCUAGCUGUUUAGCGGUGUAAUAGUACGAGCUUGCCGGCAAAUCCAAGGUAUCUAAGACCAUGGCUAGCGGCGUGGUAGAGCGUAGCUGGUUAGCUACCCGUGUUUUCUCUACCGCUUCACUGCGCCCGCCUGUGCGGGCUUUUCCUUUUUUUGCUAGCUCGAGCUGGGCUUUCAAGACGCGUUUCUGCACGAUUAAAUCGGCUACAAGAGCACGUAAUUCUUCCGGGUCUUGGGGUAGCUGGGCUUCCAGUUGGUGGCGGGUUUUCGCUUUGAUCUGGUCGCAUUCUUUCUCGUUCAUGAGUCCUAGACUGCCUUCCGCAUCCCACUUUUUAACCCAAGCAUAGAUGUUUGUGCAGUUCACGAUUCCUAGAUCCUGGGCGAUAGUGUAGGCGUUUUCCCCGCUGCGGAAUCGCUUGCAGGCAGUUACUUUCACGUCCGUUGAUAUUUUCUGGUUAGGGGCGUGUUUCUUCGGUUUUCUCUGCUCUGGUUUCUCGUUGCUAUUCCGGAUCCAUUUGUAGAGCGUGUCUCGGCCUGGGUAGCCCAGUUUACGGACUGUGGCGGUUACCGAUUGCGUGCGUUGGUAGGUGGUGAGGGCUUUACGGAUCUGCUCUCUCGUGUACGUACGCUUACUCAUUGAACGUUCUCCUUAAAAAUCUCUAGGAAACCGUCCGCACCCCCCUGGUAGUUGGGUAGAGCAUACUAAGGCGUGCGAGUGAAUCGUGGUUAAGGAACUCGGCAAAAUGCCCCCGUAACUUUGGGAGAAGGGGGGCCCACUCUUUACACGCCCCGUGUCUGGGUGUUGUGGGGGGUUGGGUCGCAGAGUCUAGGGAGAAGCGACUGUUUAUCAAAAACACAGGUCCGUGCGAAGCUGUAAGGCGAUGUAUACGGACUGACGCCUGCCCGGUGCUGGAAGGUUAAGCGGACUGGUUAGCCCCUUUUUUGGGGGCGAGGCUGGGAAGUUAAGCCCCAGUAAACGGCGGUGGUAACUAUAACCAUCCUAAGGUAGCGAAAUUCCUUGUCGGGUAAGUUCCGACCUGCACGAAUGGCGUAACGACUUCUCUACUGUCUCGACCACGAGCUCGGUGAAAUUGCAUUACGAGUAAAGAUGCUCGUUUCGCGCAGCAGGACGGAAAGACCCCGGGACCUUUACUAUAGCUUGGUAUUGGUGUUCGGUACGGUUUGUGUAGGAUAGGUGGGAGACUGUGAUGCAUGGACGCUAGUUUGUGUGGAGUCGUUGUUGAAAUACCACUCUGGUCGUAUUGCAUGUCUAACUUUGGUCCGUGAUCCGGGCUAAGGACAGUGCCUGGUGGGUAGUUUAACUGGGGCGGUUGCCUCCUAAAGGGUAACGGAGGCGCUCAAAGGUUUCCUCAGCCUGGUUGGUCAUCAGGUGGUGAGUGUAAGUGUAGAAGGAAGCUUGACUGUGAGACAGACAUGUCGAGCAGGUACGAAAGUAGGAACUAGUGAUCCGGCGGUGGCUUGUGGAAGCGCCGUCGCUCAACGGAUAAAAGGUACCCCGGGGAUAACAGGCUGAUCCUGCCCAAGAGUUCAUAUCGACGGCAUGGUUUGGCACCUCGAUGUCGGCUCGUCGCAUCCUGGGGCUGGAGUAGGUCCCAAGGGUUGGGCUGUUCGCCCAUUAAAGCGGUACGCGAGCUGGGUUCAGAACGUCGUGAGACAGUUCGGUCCCUAUCCGCUGCGCGCGUUUGAGAAUUGAGAAGGGCUGUUCCUAGUACGAGAGGACCGGGACGGACGAACCUCUAGUGUGCCAGUUGUUCCGCCAGGGGCAUUGCUGGUUGGCCACGUUCGGGAGGGAUAACCGCUGAAAGCAUCUAAGCGGGAAGCCUGCUUCGAGAUUAGUUCUCGUUCCACCUUUGGGGUGGGUGAGGUCCCCGGUUGAUGAUCGGGUUGAUAGGCCAGGGAUGUAAGCAUUGUGAGGUGUUUAGUUGACUGGUACUAAUGGACCGAUAACCAAAACAA